UACGUAGGCAGCGAGCGUUGUUCGGAGUUACUGGGCGUAAAGCGUGCGUAGGCGGUAGUCCAAGUCUGGUGUGAAAUCUCCCGGCUUAACUGGGAGGGUGCGCCGGAAACUGGGCUGCUGGAGUGCGGGAGAGGUAAGCGGAAUUCCCGGUGUAGCGGUGAAAUGCGUAGAUAUCGGGAGGAACCCCGGCGGUGUGGACGGCUUACUGGACCGCCACUGACGCUGAGGCACGAAAGCGUGGGUAGCAAACAGG
rnacentral:rRNA from 1 species